CACUAGGGAACGCAGGCUAAGUUCGCGCCGUCCUGGCGCAACGCCUGCAUGACCCAUGACCCACAUCCUGUAGG
rnacentral:sRNA from 1 species